rnacentral:misc_RNA from 1 species
CAGAGUUCGUGCCCUGAACUGAAUCAGGGUAGAUCUCCCACCCCUUGUGUAUUUUCUUACCUGUGUUGCUUUGGCAGGCCGCCUGGAUCGUCGCCCCCGCGCGACAGCCCAGCCGCCGGCUCCCUCCGGGAAGCUGACGUGCGCCUGCCAGAGGCUCCCAAACUCAGUGUUUGUCAGUGUCGUCUGAGUACCAUUGCAAAAUCGUUA